UACGGAGGGGGCUAGCGUUGUUCGGAAUUACUGGGCGUAAAGCGCACGUAGGCGGACUGUUAAGUCGGGGGUGAAAUCCUGGGGCUCAACCUCAGAAUUGCCUCCGAUACUGGCAGUCUCGAGUGCGGGAGAGGAGACUGGAAUUUAUGGUGUAGCAGUGAAAUGCGUAGAUAUCAUAAGGAAGACCAGUGGCGAAGGCGGGUCUCUGGACAGUUCCUGACACUGAGACACGAAGGCCAGGGGAGCAAACGGG
rnacentral:rRNA from 1 species